rnacentral:rRNA from 1 species
GAUGAACGCUAGCGGCAGGCCUAAUACAUGCAAGUCGAACGAUAUUUUCCAGCUUGCUGGGAGAGAAAGUGGCGCACGGGUGCGUAACGCGUAUGCAACCUACCUUUAUCAGGGGGAUAGCCCGGAGAAAUCCGGAUUAAUACCGCAUAAAAUCACAGAACGGCAUUGUUCAAUGAUCAAACAUUUAUGGGAUAAAGAUGGGCAUGCGUGUCAUUAGCUAGUUGGCGGGGUGACGGCCCAACAAGGCGACGAUGACUAGGGGAUCUGAGAGGAUGGCCCCCCACACUGGUACUGAGACACGGACCAGACUCCUACGGGAGGCAGCAGUAAGGAAUAUUGGUCAAUGGAGGCAACUCUGAACCAGCCAUGCCGCAUGCAGGAAGACUGCCCUAUGGGUUGUAAACUGCUUUUAUCCGGGAAUAAACCUCCGAUCGUGAUCGGAGCUGAAUGUACCGGAAGAAUAAGGAUCGGCUAACUCCGUGCCAGCCGCCGCGGUAA